rnacentral:lncRNA from 1 species
GAUAGACCCUGAUAAUUUAAUUUUAAACCAGGAAUGAGUGACAAAGCAAAUGUCAUAACUAAAAUUCUAAGGUUGACACAUGAAUAGGGUUUGGUCUAAACCUUGUAAUAUAUUUAAUGAUGCUAGGAUGAAAAUAUUGGUUCUUUUUAUUGGACUGACAUCAACAUGGAUAUCUCAAAUUUUUUAUUUAAGUAAUAUUAUUUUUUAAAAAAAUUAUUAAAAUAAUAUUAUUUUAAAAAUAUUUAUCAAAAUACUGUUCAAAAUAAAAUCAUCCUGUGAUAAGAUGGCAUCACAAUCCAUGUCAUAUGGAAGGAGUCAGUAAUGGGUCA